rnacentral:rRNA from 1 species
AAAUUUAAAGAGCCGCAGUAUUUUAACUGUGCGAAGGUAGCGUAAUCAUUAGGUUUUUAAUUGAAAUCUUGUAUGAAUGGUUGAACAAAUAAGACGCUGUCUUUGUAUUUAAUUUGAAUUUAACUUUUAAGUGAAAAGGCUUAAAUAUUCUAAAAAGACGAUAAGACCCUAUAAAACUUUACAUUAAAUCUAAAUAAAAUUGAUUUUUAAAAAUAAAAAUUAAUUUAGUUAUUUGUUAUGUUGGGGAGACAAAGGUGUAAAUAAAAAUAACCGCUUUAUGUAGAAACAAAUAUUUAUGGGAAUAUUGAUCCUAGAAUACAGAUUAAAGAUUAAGUUACUUUAGGGAUAACAGCGUUAUUUUUUUUAAGAGUUCCUAUCGAAAAAAAAGGUUACGACCUCGAUGUUGAAUUAAAAUUUCUUUAUAGUGAAGCAGUUAUAUAAGAA